rnacentral:lncRNA from 1 species
UUCUAACUCCAGAGUCUCAGGAAGCUAUAGGCAAGGACCUUAUUCUAGAACAGUUACAGUGGAGUCCAAACCUAACAUGGAAAGGAAGGGAGAAAGUGCCAAUAACAAUGAAGUCAGUGGGGGAAGCAGACCCAGGGGAGGGGAGUUUAAACAAUUGUCAAAUGCCGAACUCAAAGAGCGAAGGGAGAAAGGGUUAUGUUUUCGGUGUGAUGAACCGUAUAACAAAGAUCAUA